UACGGGAGGCAGCAGUGGGGAAUAUUGGACAAUGGGCGCAAGCCUGAUCCAGCCAUGCCGCGUGAGUGAUGAAGGCCCUAGGGUUGUAAAGCUCUUUUGUGCGGGAAGAUAAUGACGGUACCGCAAGAAUAAGCCCCGGCUAACUUCGUGCCAGCAGCCGCGGUAAUACGAAGGGGGCUAGCGUUGCUCGGAAUCACUGGGCGUAAAGGGUGCGUAGGCGGGUCUUUAAGUCAGGGGUGAAAAUCCUGGAGCUCAACUCCAGAACUGCCUUUUGAUACUGAAGAUCUUGAGUUCGGGAGAGGUGAGUGGAACUGCGAGUGUAGAGGUGAAAUUCGUAGAUAUUCGCAAGAACACCAGUGGCGAAGGCGGCUCACUGGCCCGAUACUGACGCUGAGGGCACGAAAGCGUGGGGAGCAAACAGGGAUUAGAUACC
rnacentral:rRNA from 1 species